AUCCCUUUAACUCGAUGAAUAGUGUGUGUAUUGGACUUCUAAUCCAAAGGGCGUAGGUUCGAAUCCUACCUGGGAGG